GACAGAGGUUGCAAGCGUUGUUCGGAAUUACUGGGCAUAAAGCGCACGUAGGCGGUCCGCUAAGUCAUGUGUGAAAUCCCCCGGCUCAACCGGGGAAUGGCGCCUGAUACUGGCGGACUCGAGAUCGGUAGGGGUGAGUGGAACUCCAGGUGGAGCGGUGAAAUGCGUAGAUAUCUGGAGGAACACCGGUGGCGAAAGCGACUCACUGGACCGACACUGACGCUGAGGUGCGAAAGCCAGGGGAGCAAACGGG
rnacentral:rRNA from 1 species